GACGAGCUCUCCAAACGUUAUUCGGAAUCACUGGGCUUACAGAGUUCGUAGGCGGUCUGGAAAGUUGGGUGUGAAAUCCCUCGGCUCAACCGAGGAACUGCGCUCAAAACUACCAGACUCGAGGGAGAUAGAGGAAAGCGGAACUGAUGGUGGAGCGGUGAAAUGCGUUGAUAUCAUCAGGAACACCGGUGGCGAAGGCGGCUUUCUGGGUCUUACCUGACGCUGAGGAACGAAAGCCAGGGGAGCGAACGGG
rnacentral:rRNA from 1 species